rnacentral:rRNA from 1 species
UACGGGGGGAGCAAGCGUUGUUCGGAUUUACUGGGCGUAAAGGGCGCGUAGGCGGCCACCGCAAGUCGACUGUGAAAUCUCCGGGCUUAACCCGGAAAGGUCAGCCGAUACUGCGGGGCUAGAGUGCAGAAGGGGCAACUGGAAUUCUCGGUGUAGCGGUGAAAUGCGUAGAUAUCGGGAGGAACACCAGUGGCGAAGGCGGCUACCUGGCACAUAACUGACGCUGAUACGCGAAAGCGUGGGGAGCGAACCGG